rnacentral:tRNA from 1 species
GCAGGGUUCGUCUAAUGGCAAGACGGUGGCUUCCAAACCCACUUAUGAGAGUUCGAUUCUUUCAUCCUGUGCCA